CGAAUCCACUCAGGAAGUUUCUGCAGCGUGCCUGUUCGUGAGUAACGGUGGUCACACAGAACGAUGCACGCGUAAUCGCCACGGUGACGGAUCGCACGGCCUGCGUGGACAAAGGGACUUUUGCCAUCUAUGUGAGGCUGAGACGGGAGGAGACGGAGUGUUAGACAUGUCAGAUGCCUUUUAUUUGUGAGCUGCUUAAUGAAUUCUCACCAUAUGUUUGUCCAGGUAUGCGUUCAGGACUUCAGACUCUAAGCGCUGGAGGACUCCAGUACUCUCCCAGUGUCCCAGAAUUCUCUUCUCGUAUUCGUAGGAGGGGAAAAAACAGACCACACCCCCUGGUACGAUGUUACACAGGUUUG